rnacentral:rRNA from 1 species
UGAGGGAAUAUUUGGGUCAAUGGACGUAAGUCUGAACCAGCCAAGUAGCGUGCAGGAUGAAGGCCCUCUGGGUCGUAAACUGCUUUUGGGUGAGGGUAAAAGGCGGGACGUGUCCUGCGUAUUGCAAGUAUCACCCGAAUAAGGACCGGCUAAUUCCGUGCCAGCAGUCGCGGUAAUACGGAAGGUCCGGGCGUUAUCCGGAUUUAUUGGGUUUAAAGGGAGCGCAGGCGGUUCUUCAAGUCAGUUGUGAAACGCGGGGCUUAACCUCGCGCCUGCAGUUGAUACUGUUGAACUUGAGUGCACACAGGGAUGUUGGAAUUCAUGGUGUAGCGGUGAAAUGCUUAGAUAUCAUGAAGAACUCCGAUCGCGAAGGCAUAUGUCCGGUGUGUUACUGACGCUGAGGCUCGAAAGCGCGGGG